GAUCGUACGCCUGCCCUGACAGCGCAUGGAACUACUGAAAUGAAAAGUGCAUAUACUGCACCCGCCUCUGCAUCUAGAUUGGUUACGGAUAAAAAUCAAUUUAAGCAUCCUGUAUCAUUGCCUCUAGUGCCUCCAGCAGUAGAACCUUCAAUUCAAGAGUUAGAGCCUCUAGAUACGACACACGAAGGCUUUGAAAAAUAUUUGGACCCGUAUCUAACGACAAACAGGCUCCAUCACCGGCCCUUCACUGCUCAACAAUUAUCAAGACCCUCAAACUCUAAGGAUAUUAUGACAUUUUAUACUUAUGCAAACGUUCCUUGGAUCAGAUCUCCAAAACCGAAAUGCCAAGAAUUUCGACUACCACUCAGCAAAGCUAAAUCUGUUUACGACAGAGAAAAGUUCAAACAAGGUUUUCGGGAAAUUAGAACGCACAAUAAAUUGAACUGGGUACCACGAACCUUUCACACAGAAGUUAGAGAUAACUAUGUGGAGCAGACAUCACGGCCAGAGUCACAAAUUCACAAUUUUGAAGAGGAAGUCAGGUCGGAAUAUCAACGUGCUGUCGCCAGCUUACAAACAAACGUACAACAAGAGGAAUCUGCCAUACGUCAUAUUUACACAACAGAAAACUCCCAUAUAGGAUCUAAAAAGCCAUUGUGUUCAACACUUAAUCAGUUUAUAAAGACGAAUAAACGAUUAGCUAAUAAAAAUACGAGAAUAAGUUAUGACUAGGCACAAUAAUAUAAUUAGUAUUGUAAGCAAGUGCUUUUUAUACUCUGCAGAUAUCUUAAAAACUACAUAGGUACCUAACUGAGAUGAAAAAAUAAGAUAUUCAAAAUAUAUGAGAAACUAUUUAAACAAGAUUUUUAAUUUUCGGUUGCUCAUAUUUUUCCGUAACUAACACCACUUGCUUACUAAACUAAGUAUGCUAACAGAAGACAAAUAACAAAUAUAUAAUUAAGAAUAUAAAUACAUAUAUUACAUUAAGAGAAGAAAACGAUUAAUAAGGAUUAAGUGGUAUAAAAAGUAUUAAAUAAUUCAAUUAUAUAACCUCGGUAUAAUGGGAAUACAUGUGACGAAUUUUGGUACCAGUGUAAAAGAAAAGAAAAUAAAUUCAGUCUUAAGUAAAAUAAAUUCAGUCUUAAAGAAAAUUAAUUAACAGCACGUACUUUUAUCUACUUGCCAUUAGCUAUACAAGUUAGAUUAUAUACGUAAAAUAUCUGAUCCUGAUACAAAGGAUACAAAUAACUUUGUAUUUUUAAUAAGUAUGCAACCUUAUUGGUACUUCGAACACAGAGCCAUAAUCUAAUGACAUUGUAAAAAUGAAAAGUGUCACUACAUCAUUGUGAGUUUAAAUCAAAAUUUUGACAUACCAAAUAAAAACAUGAGCCAUAUACAUAUAAAACAAAUCAAAUAAUUCAAUACAAACCACCUAAAAUGCAGCCGAAAAUUAAAUGGAAAUAGUAUAUUUUUUAAUAAUAAUAAGCUUGAUUAUUUAUAUUAUUUACUUAAUUCAGCCAUAUAUGAUCUUUAUUAUAUCUUUCGCUAUAAUUUAUGUGCUCUAUACUCAAAUUUGCUCGAUAUUUUGAGGAUUAACUCCUCUCUCUCUCUUGGAGGAUCUCUUGAUAUGUCUUCAUAAAAGGUGAGUAAAAUAUUUGUAUCAUCUUAUUCUCUAUCGUAAUCUCUAUCACAAAUUGUUAAUGUUUUUCAGAAGUAAUAUCUUAAAUAAGGUUAGCUUAAUGCAAUAGCUUAAAGAAGUAAUAGCUUAAACAGUUAAACUUAAGUAAGGUUGUCUCAAAAGUAAAUUCCACGGCUCCCCAUAGUUGACCAUGCAACAGUUAUAGUUGACCAUUUUUCUAAAUUAAAUUAACUAAUAACAUUUCAUAAUAUUACAACGUCAAUUUUCACAACUUGAAACAUUUAUUGUAAUUAAAACCAUUAUAAACAGAAAAAUAUUUUUAAAAAUUCUCAACCGAUUCAUUUUACUGGAAAACUCAUUAAUUUUUUUUAAUCCUUAAAUGUUAUUCUUUAACUGAAAAUUAAACCUCAGGAUUCCAACCCAGGACCUCAUGAAUAGAUACCACAUAAUCUAACCUGGACCAACGAGGCACUCAUAAUAAUAUGACCAUACAUAAUGCAAAGUAGCACACCUAAUAUAAUGUUGAUAAGUUUGGUUUCAUUUACUUUUAAGCGUGGUCGAAUGUUGUAUAUGUAAACAUUACCAGCAGCUCUGUAUGUGGACAGACGUGUAUAGAAACUGAACAAUUGACACGUGUUUAAAUAAAUAAAAAUAUUAUAAUGAAAGCGUAAUGAAGCGAUCACAAAUAUCGCACCAGAACUAAUAGCGAUUCAUCACAAACAAACCUUAUUUUUAAAUUGAAAAGAUUUUUAGUGACUAUAAAAAUGGUGCAGUUUAAGUUACAGUUUUUAAUGUUUUUAUUAUUUGCAAUCAAACAGCUUAGCAAUUCUAUGGCUCAAAAGUCGCUGCUAGCACUAACAGUGUACUAUGAGAGUAAAUGCCCCGACAGCAAGUCGUUCAUACUGAAACAGUUGGAACCAUCAAUGCAGCAUCUCUCUGAUUAUGUCCAAUUGAAGUUUGUGCCUUUUGGAAAAGCGAGA